UUCCUGUAAUGAAUCAGACCAGCUCACUAUGACUGUCACUGAGAGCACAUGAACACCUGAGAAAC